UGACGUCACCUCACCGCCGCGAGCGUCGCUUUCUUAACACCGUGACGUCAUGUAUGCGCUUUGUCCGCCGUGACGUCAGGCGGCGCACCUAGAUUCGUCCGCUCGUGUUAAGGGAUAAAGCGGCAGCGAUUAAUAACGCGGCCACUGAUUAGCGACGAUUGUAAUCGUGACAACAACAACAACAAUACACAAACACUAAGUUUCGUGACUGGCAUGAGGCGCGAUGGGAGGCGACGCGUCAAAGACCCUUAGGAGCUGGGUGUUCGGCGCGACCCCGGGCGAUCGGGGAUCAGCAGGCGUCGGCGAGGAGGAGGAGGAGGCCCCGUCCCGUCGCGGCCUGGCAAGCCCCUGGGUCCUCUCCAGACGCGGUUCGUUGUUCAUUGAUGAAGAUGGCGACUUGGCGAAUGAAUUCUAUGAAGAAAUAGUAAUUUACAUCAACGGCAGACAGACGGCUUCUUUACGAAGAAUAUUGGAUAAUUUGCGGCCCCAGGGCCGCGUGAAGUUGAAAUACCCCAGGAUCCAUGCGGAUUUCCCGGUGGUUUUGUGCGAGGUGUGAGCCAAGCUUCGUUGCCGCGACACGGACUCUUGUACAUGCGCUCUUCUGCGAACACCGAGCGGCCCCGGUGGGGGGUGGAUGGAAGGGGUGGGGGGGGCAGGGGGACUGGGGGCGGGGGGGGGGUGAUCAUCUGACUCGUCGCUGCCGGCUGGGUGCCAUCGUCAACACUACGCACCUCCCUUGUGCCACAGAGCCUCCAGCAAAACUGCUCGCCGUGGAAUGCAAGUGACUGGUGGUGGUGGUGCUGUGUUGUCUUUGGUUGGAGAUGUGUUCCGCGUAGGAAAACCCGACGUCAUGUAUAAACAACCAAAAUCGUUUCGGUAGUCGUUGCGUGUAAUGUUAAUACAUUAAAGAAAAACGAUUCUAGUAAUUAAGUUAAUACCUGCAAGUAUAUGCUGGUGCUCAACUCUGCAUCUCAGUAGAUUUUUUUUAACCUACAUGCACCUGUACAGCCCUUUGGUCAAUCCACUGCUGAAUGAGCACUAACGCCCCUCCACCCCUGCCUUGCAAAUUUGGGGCGGGGUUGAUUUGAUCAUAGCUCAUGCUUAUCAGCGUGAGUCGGUGAAGGCGGGAAGUACAGAUAUGGGAGCAUUCACCGAUGUUACUGUGUUUCAUUCUUCCCACAACACAGCCACCGCAGCAGCCUAUGAUAACACCUUCUUUGCAAUGCAGUCACCCAUACGGGCACUUUCCAGGCUUGAUUCGGUUUUCGCUUCCUACCAGAUAUGUCGCGAUCGGGCGCAUUGCGGGUGAUUUGUUAAUAGGCUUUUACCUACAACGAUUUUACUUUUCCAGAUGGGCAGCAAUGUGUCCGUACGCCAUCCUGUUGCACUGGGCUGCAGCGGAGAUCACACUAGUUCAUGUAACUGAUCCGUUAUUAACGUAUAAAAAUGCAUAAUUAAUUUAUAAGACUGUGAAGUUCGUCCGUUUUGUCAUCGAUCACCAAAUUUUGGGAUAGAACGGUGUGAAGAAGACCUGACCCCUUUUCGAAGGUGUGACCAUAUCAGAGGCCUAUUGCUGACAUCCACAGCGUUUCUCUGCAUAAGAGACUCACCGACGUUGACUCUGUCCAGCAACAUUGGAACGUUGAGACGAAGCAGAAAUGGGUGUACUUUGCGUUUAUAAUGUCUCCUGUUCACUACCCUUCGAGCCACAAUAAAUGAUCCUUUUUUUUUACAGCAGAGUUCUUCAACUAUAUUUCCCGGCGAGCCAGAUGAUAAAACGAGUGCUGGCAGGCCGUGUGAUGGUGUCGUGUGCAUCCAUCUCUGAAUUGUUGUUUUUAGUUUUUUUAGUUUGUUGUCCGUAACCCACACCCCCAGUUAACGCGGUUGGCUACAUACAGUGCGAAAGAAGUUCAACAUAGAUUUCCCGCACCUCCGAUUAGCAUGGUUGUCUACGUACGGUGCGAAAGAAGUUCAACAUACAUCUUGUCAUAACGACUGCACACGUGACCGCCAAUCUGUUUCUCUUGUCUCCAGGCCCCGUCCUUCUCGCUCGUUUAUCUCAUCUCACUAUCCUAUCUCUUGUCUACGGGUCUCCCAUGCCUUUAUCUUGUUUACCUCUCAUUUCUCUUUAGGUGUCAUCUGUUGGCAGGCCCAUAGCUAAGUGGGGCCACUUCAAUUCUCUUUUCUUACUUUUGCUGCAACUGGAACAUCCGAGCUUGGGAGCGAUGUCGAACCCAUCGAAUAUGUCAUUAUCCUGGCCCCCUUUCCCCCUCCCAAUAAUCCUUGCUUGGGUCCUGACCAAAUUUCAGAUGUCUGCUUAUGAGGCCCAGCAUAUUUUGGUUUUGAUUAUGGCUCAGCUCGGCAAAUAGCUGGUGGGAAUCGACCCAUAUCUUGAUUGCCCCGUGCUGACUCGGCUCGGAUGUGCCGUUGGAAAAGGGGUAUACAAAGAGCCCGCGUGUGCCACAUGCGGGUCUGCAUUCCGCCACUUUGAAGAACCCUGCUGUACUACGGCGCAAUGUUUUUUUGCCAUAAUUGUUGCGCGUGGGUAAAAUUUUUCCAAUGCGUGCGGAAUAAACGCGCCUUCAAAUUGCCACAGCUGUGUUGUGUAGCACUUUGCAGAUAGAAUGAGAUGAUGAAUUGUAUAUGGUGUUAGUGCGCGUGAAAUUAGAAACAUAUCAGCGUUACUCCAUAAAUAUGCGUUGCUUUAAUCGGUCAUUAUAAUCGUGUAAAGGCAAUGCACGCGAUGUAUAUUAUUUGCUGCAGCUGCUACCUGGACGUUGUGCUGUAUAUACUAUGAGAUUUAAAUAAUCACACUCUUUAACUGAAGUUUUAUUCGAUUUAAGAAUAUGAACUGUUAACUGCAUUUGCAAACGGGUUCAAUAAAAGACGGAGAAAAUGUGCGCUCAUGCACUUGUCCAACUAUGA